rnacentral:rRNA from 1 species
UCUCCGUUGGUGAACCAGCGUAGGGAUCAUUA